rnacentral:rRNA from 1 species
GACGAACGCUGGCGGCGUGCUUAACACAUGCAAGUCGAGCGGUAAGGCCCUUUCGGGGGUACGACGAGCGGCGAACGGGUGAGUAACACGUGGGUGACCUGCCCUCCAGCUCUGGGAGUAAGACCCGGGAAACCGUAGGGUCUAAUAACCGGAUAUGACUUCAUGACGCAUGUUGUGGAGUGGAAAGCCUUGUGCGGCUGAGGAUGGGCCCGCGGCCUAUCAGCUUGUUGGUGGGGUGAGGCCUACCAAGGCGACGACGGGUAGCCGGCCUGAGAGGGCGACCGGCCACACUGGGACUGAGAUACGGCCCAGACUCCUACGGGAGGCAGCAGUGGGGAAUCUUGCGCAAUGGGCGAAAGCCUGACGCAGCGACGCCGCGUGAGGGAUGACGG